rnacentral:rRNA from 1 species
GAUGAACGCUAGCGAUAGGCUUAACACAUGCAGGUCGAGGGGCAGCAUGAGCAAAGCUUGCUUUGUUUGAUGGCGACCGGCGCACGGGUGCGUAACACGUAUGCAACUUACCCAUAAAGCGAGGAUAACCCGGAGAAAUUCGGACUAAUACUCGAUGGUAUUAUUAGGAGGCAUCUUCUAAUAAUUAAAGAUUUAUCGAUUAUGGAUAGGCAUGCGCAUGAUUAGCUAGUUGGUGAGGUAACGGCUCACCAAGGCGACGAUCAUUAGGGGUUCUGAGAGGAAGGUCCCCCACACUGGUACUGAGACACGGACCAGACUCCUACGGGAGGCAGCAGUGAGGAAUAUUGGUCAAUGGACGAGAGUCUGAACCAGCCAAGUCGCGUGAAGGAAGACUGCCCUAAGGGUUGUAAACUUCUUUUGUGUGGGAAUAAAAAGAGGGACGUGUCCCUCAUUGUAUGUACCAUACGAAUAAGGAUCGGCUAACUCCGUGCCAGCCGCCGCUGUAACAC